UGUGGCGUCCAAGAUCCAGAAGCUACGCCAUGAAUUUGAGUCUGAGCAGAUUCCGGAGCUAAGCGUCCGUGACGUUCACAGCGUGAGCUCCCUGUGCAAGAUGUACUUCAGGGAGCUCCCGACCCCUCUGCUGACCGAGCAGCUGUAUGGCAAGUUCUCGGAUGCUGUUUGUGCCGCUACAGAUGAGGAGCGGUUGCUCAGAAUGCAGGAGGUCAUCCAGC